CACAGGAGUAUGGCUGAUGUGUUUGAAGUCAGGUGCAAACUAUGAAGGAGCAAACGAGCUAAUGGCUACAGUGAAAACAUUUAAAACCUCAUUUAACCUGACCAUUUUUCUCUUAUCAAAGACAUGGAGAGAUUCCAGAAGCAAUUCACUGAAGAAAAUUACCCCAUCCAGAAGAAAUACCCUAGGAUUUGACAAGUAUCAUCAGAUGAGGACAUUUCUAGACACUGUUUUGGAGGUAGACAUUAACUACCUGAAAUGAGCCCCAAAGCUCCUGCUGUCUCAAAGCCACAAGUGCUGCUGGCUCUUUUCUUCCAUGACCAACACUUUGCUCCACUGCCUGAUGCUUUAAAUGUACUAGGGAAUGCAGGCAUGGUGCUAACAUCACAACUGCUGUUCGUGUACAGGCUCACUGCCCAGUCAAGACAUACCUAUCCUUCUCCAGGGACAACAAUCCACUGCAAACCAUCUUCAGAGAAGUAUUCUUUUCAUCUGCUUCUUUUUUCACCCUCCUAGGAUUUCAAGUAAAUCCACAGGUAUUUCACGAUGCUGGCUUCCAGAGAACACAAGUAUUUCCCCAGAUAAUUAUCCCUUGGAAACUUCUGCACUAACUCCUUUUUAAAACAAAACAGGCAGAGUGGCAAGACUAUCAAGAGAAAGAAAGAUCAGAAGUGUUACAAGCUCAACAGCAAGGAACUAACAAAAUCAUGCAGGGCAAGAAUUGAGGCUCCCAAAUAAACCACUCACCAGAGCCGUAGCUGCUUUGUCUUUGUGGGUCAUGUAAAUCUGAAAUGUUUGGGUUAUAAUGGACAUCAUGCACCUCAACAGCUCGAUGCAUACCUUGUAGGGUAGAUACUAAGUUUGCUGCACACACACCGGAGCAGGAGAGAAGAUCUGCCUUUGCACAGGGCACACAGGAAAAUAUUCUGGACACUGGCAGCCCAGCUAGCUACGUGCAUUUGCCUAUAUAGUGGGGUCUAAAAUAGAAUAAUAAUUAUUAUUGUAAUUGCUCUACUAUAUUAACUUAUAAUACUAUUUAUCUUAAUCAUUUAUGUUAUAAAUUGGUUUUGCCUUCUGGGCAUAGGUCUGGGAGUCCCAGAGAAAUGUGUGAAAUUCUCAAGGUCUGCUUAGAUAAGCAAGAGAGAAUUACAUAGCUGAGGAAAUGUGGUCAGAAGCCAGGUUGGUUAAGAGAUUGGUAACUUCCUCCUUGUGCCCGCUGCCCCAGCAGUGACACCGGGUCUGACUGGAAGGGAAAGGACUCUUUCCCACUGCUCGCUGAAUGGGCAGGAGUGCCGUGACACGACAAAUCGACUUUCACUUCCUUCAACAAACAAGUCAAAUCCCAGUAUGCAUAAAAACAACCCCGUACCUGGCAGGGGUUCUCUUCUCCCCUGCAGCUGGUGUUGCAGUUGGUGGUGGUGUUGCUUACAAAGAUGAGAUAAAAAUACAUCAGCCUUGCUGCAGGAAGCGCGUUGGCACUGUCUCAGCUUCAGACCAUGGCCGGAGCUCAUAGGGUCAGGGCAAGUCAUUCAGCUCUCCCUCUCAGGAGCAAAACAGCAACCAGCAGGCAGCCAAGACCAUCAGUCAUCCCACAGGAGUGAGCACCCAGCCCUGGACUCUCCCAGAGGUGGGAUUAAAUUUCUCCCUGCUGCAGGGAGCGGGUAAAAGGUCCUGAGAUGAACUCUCCAGCUUGCUCCUCGCUUCAGCUCAUUAACUUACUUCAUUCUGCAUUCGAUGCUCAAUCUGGAGCUUGCACGUGCAAGAGAAAGUGAUGGAUAAGCCCGGAGCACAGGACCAGUUUCCUCUAUGGUGUUUAAAACAGAUCCCAUGAACAUGGAAGUAGGACUGGGUUCCUUGGAUGUUCUCUGAUUUGAAUGUGAAGUUAAGGGAAGAGUAACCUGCUGGUCCACAUUGGUGCUGUUCUACUUAAGUCAAGGAAGAACCUGGUAUUUUAAUUCCAGUCAUGUCUUCCAGCCUCUUAACCUUCUUAAUGGCCCUUUACUAACA